rnacentral:rRNA from 1 species
GAUGAACGCUGGCGGCGUGCCUAAUACAUGCAAGUCGAGCGAAUGGAUUGAGAGCUUGCUCUUAUGAAGUUAGCGGCGGACGGGUGAGUAACACGUGGGUAACCUGCCCAUAAGACUGGGAUAACUCCGGGAAACCGGGGCUAAUACCGGAUAACAUUUUGAACCGCAUGGUUCGAAAUUGAAAGGCGGCUUCGGCUGUCACUUAUGGAUGGACCCGCGUCGCAUUAGCUAGUUGGUGAGGUAACGGCUCACCAAGGCAACGAUGCGUAGCCGACCUGGGAGGGUGAUCGGCCACACUGGGACUGAGACACGGCCCAGGCGCCGGCGGGAGGCAGCAGUAGGGAAUCUUCCGCAAUGGACGAAAGUCUGACGGAGCAACGCCGCGUGAGUGAUGAAGGCUUUCGGGUCGUAAAACUCUGUUGUUAGGGAAGAACAAGUGCUAGUUGAAUAAGCUGGCACCUUGACGGUACCUAACCAGAAAGCCACGGCUAACUACGUGCCAGCAGCCGCAGUAA